rnacentral:rRNA from 1 species
GAUGAACGCUGGCGGCGUGCCUAAUACAUGCAAGUCGAGCGGAAGGACGAGAAGUUUGCGUCUCGGAUGUGAGCGGCGGACGUGAGAGUAACACGUGUAUACCCUCCCUAUAAGUCUGGUAUCACUACGGGAAACCGGAGCUAAUACCGUAUGAGAUUUUGAUCCGUAUGGUUCAAAAGUGAAAGACGGUGUUGCUGUCACUUAUAGAUGGAUCAGCGCUGCUUUAGCGGGUUGGGAAGGUAAAGGCUUACCAAGGCAACGAGGCAUAGCCGACCUCAAAGACUGAUCGGCCACCUGGGAAUGGGAACACGGACAAGACUCCUACGGGAGGACGCAGUAGGAAAUGUGCCGCAAUGGGGGAAAACCUGACGGAGCAGCCCCGAGUGAGGGAUAAAGGCCUCGGGAUCGUAAAUCUCUGUUAUUGGGGAGAAACAUAUGUGUAAGUUACUGUACAGAUCUUGACGGUACCUAAUAAGAAAGCCCCGGCUAACUACGUG